rnacentral:rRNA from 1 species
CUGCCAGACUCCUACGGGAGGCAGCAGUGGGGAAUAUUGCACAAUGGGGGAAACCCUGAUGCAGCAACGCCGCGUGGGUGAAGGAGCGUUUCGGCGCGUAAAGCCCUGUCAGCGGGGAAGAAGAAAGACGGUACCCGACCAAGAAGCCCCGGCUAACUACGUGCCAGCAGCCGCGGUAAUACGCAGGGUGCGAGCGUUAAUCGGAAUUACUGGGCGUAAAGGGUGUGCAGGCGGCUGAGUAAGACAGAUGUGAAAUCCCCGGGCUUAACCUGGGAACCGCAUAUGUGACUGCUUGGCUAGAGUGCGUCAGAGGGAGGUGGAAUUCCACGUGUAGCAGUGAAAUGCGUAGAUAUGUGGAAGAACACCGAUGGCGAAGGCAGCCUCCUGGGACGCAACUGACGCUCAUACACGAAAGCGUGGGGAGCAAACAGGAUUAGAUACCCUAGUA